rnacentral:lncRNA from 1 species
CAUACUGACAGAUGAGAAAUAGAGACUCAGGGAGAUGAAGCAACUUUCCCCAAAGUUCCAUUGCUUUUAAGAGUCAAGGUCUUCCAGUCUCCAAAAGCCUCAUUCUUUCCCUUGGUUUAUGAUAUUCAAUUUGGCUCCUGCUGUAAUGUACACUGAAACCUCAGGCUGCUGAGCUAUCUUGAUGGUUUUAAGAAGACAAUCUGGUGCCUUUACCUGCUAGAGAAGUCACCUAGAAUCCUGUUGUUUAAGAACUACUUAACAAUAUACAUACUGAUCCAUUGUGGAAUUAUUAAGGAAAAUACAUUGAAAUAGGUGGCAUUCUUGUCAAAGAUAUAUAUGGACGGCUAGAUGGAUAGAUAGGUGAAAAUCAUGUUCCAUGGAAGAAGAGUUAGCUCAGCCUGCAACUCAAACAAGUACAGAUAUUCUUCCAUGGAAUGACCAUCAUACUUGGAUUGUAAUAAAAAUGCUUUAGGCAAACUUCUCAUUUCAUCCUUGGCAUAUUAAAAAUAUGUAUGUAUGUUUAAGGCUUGAAACUUAACACUGUAUUUUAAUGUUUCAGUAAGGUAAUUCUUCUUAAAUAAAAUUGGCAUUUUUAAAAAAGCCCUCUCUCACCACUCCUAUUCAACAUAGUGUUGGAAGUUCUGGCCAGGGCAAUUAGGCAGGAGAAAGAAAUAAAGGGUAUUCAAU